AAUCACCUGGUGGAGCAGCUGGUCGCAAAGGAAACCUGCACCCUCUCGGCCCUUUCUGUAAUCAGUUUGAGAACUCUGCUUCACUGUGUACAGUCCUGGUUAGAAUUUCUGGCAACACAAAAUAAAAUUAAAAAAAAGCCUUAUUUUGAAAAAC